GCUUCCUCAGUACAGUGGUUAGGAUACUUGACAUGGACAUAAGAGACGUGGGUUCAAUUUCCACAGAAAACA